AUUGAACGCUGGCGGCAUGCCUUACACAUGCAAGUCGAACGGUAACAGGUCUUCGGAUGCUGACGAGUGGCGAACGGGUGAGUAAUGCAUCGGAACGUGCCCAGUUGUGGGGGAUAACUGCUCGAAAGAGCAGCUAAUACCGCAUACGACCUGAGGGUGAAAGCGGGGGAUCGCAAGACCUCGCGCAAUUGGAGCGGCCGAUGUCAGAUUAGGUAGUUGGUGGGGUAAAGGCCUACCAAGCCGACGAUCUGUAGUUGGUCUGAGAGGACGACCGGCCACACUGGGACUGAGACAAGGCCCAGACUCCUACGUGAGGCAGCAGUGGGGAAUUUUGGACAAUGGGCGCAAGCCUGAUCCAGCAAAGACGCGUGCAGGAAGAAGGCCUUCGGGUUGUAAACUGCUUUUGUCAGGGAAGAAAUCCUCUGGGUUAAUACCCCGGGGGGAUGACGGUACCUGAAGAAUAAGCACCGGCUAACUACGUGCCAGCAGCCGCGGUAACAC
rnacentral:rRNA from 1 species